rnacentral:rRNA from 1 species
UACGUAGGGUGCGAGCGUUGUCCGGAAUUAUUGGGCGUAAAGAGCUCGUAGGCGGUGUGUCACGUCGUUCGUGAAAACCUGCAGCUUAACUGUGGGCGUGCGGUCGAUACGGGCAUCACUGGAGUUCGGCAGGGGAGACUGGAAUUCCUGGUGUAGCGGUGAAAUGCGCAGAUAUCAGGAAGAACACCCGUGGCGGAAGGCGGCUCUCUGGGCCUUACCUGACGCUGAGGAGCGAAAGCGUGGGGAGCGAACAGG